CCUACGGGUGGCAGCAGUGGGGAAUAUUGCACAAUGGGGGAAACCCUGAUGCAGCGACGCCGCGUGAGUGAAGAAGUAUUUCGGUAUGUAAAGCUCUAUCUGUAGGGAAGUAAAUGACGGUACCUGAUCAAGUAGCCCCGGCUAACUACGUGCCAGCAGCCGCGGUAAUACGUAGGGGGCAAGCGUUAUCCGGAUUUACUGGGUGUAAAGGGAGCGUAGACGGUGAGGCAAGUCAGAAGUGAAAGCCCGGGGCUCAACUGCGGGAGUGCUUGUGAAACUGUGUAACUGGAGUGCAGGAGAGGUAAGCGGAAUUCGUGGUGUAGCGGUGAAAUGCGUAGAUAUCAGGAGGAACACCAGUUGCGAAGGCAGCUUACUGAACUGUAACUGACGUUGAGGCUCGAAAGCGUGGGGAGCAAACAGGAUUAGAUACCCGUGUAGUC
rnacentral:rRNA from 1 species